rnacentral:rRNA from 1 species
CAGUAGCCACGGUAAUACCAGCAGCCCAAGUGGUGGUCGCGAUUAUUGGGCCUAAAGCGCUCGUAGCCGGGCCGGUAAGUCCCUUGUGAAAUCGGACGGCCUAACCGUUCGGCGUGCAAGGGAUACUGUCGGUCUUGAGGCCGGGAGACGUCCGAGGUACUCCGGGGGUAGCGGUGAAAUGUUCUGAUCCUCGGGGGACCACCGGUGGCGAAGGCGUUCGACGAGAACGGGCCUGACGGUGAGGGGCGAAGGCUAGGGGAGCAAACGGGAUUAGAUACCCCAGUAGUCCCUGUCUCUUAUA